GUGGGGAAUAUUGGACAAUGGGGGGAACCCUGAUCCAGCCAUGCCGCGUGUGUGAAGAAGGCCUUUUGGUUGUAAAGCACUUUAAGCGAGGAGGAGGCUACCGAGAUUAAUACUCUUGGAUAGUGGACGUUACUCGCAGAAUAAGCACCGGCUAACUCUGUGCCAGCAGCCGCGGUAAUACAGAGGGUGCGAGCGUUAAUCGGAUUUACUGGGCGUAAAGCGUGCGUAGGCGGCUUUUUAAGUCGGAUGUGAAAUCCCCGAGCUUAACUGGGGAAUUGCAUUCGAUACUGGGAAGCUAGAGUAUGGGAGAGGAUGGUAGAAUUCCAGGUGUAGCGGUGAAAUGCGUAGAGAUCUGGAGGAAUACCGAUGGCGAAGGCAGCCAUCUGGCCUAAUACUGACACUGAGGUGCGAAAGCAUGGGGAGCAAACAGGAUUAGAUACCCUAGUGUCC
rnacentral:rRNA from 1 species